ACUGUUUAUUAAAAACACAGCACUCUGCAAACACGAAAGUGGACGUAUAGGGUGUGAUGCCUGCCCGGUGCUGGAAGGUUAAUUGAUGGUGUAAUCGAAAGAGAAGCUCCUGAUCGAAGCCCCAGUAAACGGCGGCCGUAACUAUAACGGUCCUAAGGUAGCGAAAUUCCUUGUCGGGUAAGUUCCGACCUGCACGAAUGGCAUAAUGAUGGCCAGGCUGUCUCCACCCGAGACUCAGUGAAAUUGAAAUCGCCGUGAAGAUGCGGUGUACCCGCGGCUAGACGGAAAGACCCCGUGAACCUUUACUAUAGCUUGACACUGAACAUUGAAUUUUGAUGUGUAGGAUAGGUGGGAGACUUUGAAGCAGUCACGCCAGUGAUUGUGGAGUCGUCCUUGAAAUACCACCCUUUAACGUUUGAUGUUCUAACGAAGAUUACGAAACGUGGUCUCGGACAGUGUCUGGUGGGUAGUUUGACUGGGGCGGUCUCCUCCCAAAGAGUAACGGAGGAGCACGAAGGUUUGCUAAUGACGGUCGGACAUCGUCAGGUUAGUGCAAUGGUAUAAGCAAGCUUAACUGCGAGACAGACAAGUCGAGCAGGUACGAAAGUAGGUCAUAGUGAUCCGGUGGUUCUGAAUGGAAGGGCCAUCGCUCAACGGAUAAAAGGUACUCCGGGGAUAACAGGCUGAUACCGCCCAAGAGUUCAUAUCGACGGCGGUGUUUGGCACCUCGAUGUCGGCUCAUCACAUCCUGGGGCUGAAGUCGGUCCCAAGGGUAUGGCUGUUCGCCAUUUAAAGUGGUACGCGAGCUGGGUUUAGAACGUCGUGAGACAGUUCGGUCCCUAUCUGCCGUGGGCGUUGGAGAAUUGAUUGGGGCUGCUCCUAGUACGAGAGGACCGGAGUGGACGCACCACUGGUGUUCCGGUUGUGUCGCCAGACGCAUUGCCGGGUAGCUAAGUGCGGAAGAGAUAAGUGCUGAAAGCAUCUAAGCACGAAACUUGCCCCGAGAUGAGUUCUCCCUGAGACUUAGAGUCUCCUGAAGGAACGUUGAAGACUACGACGUUGAUAGGCCGGGUGUGUAAGCGCAGCGAUGCGUUGAGCUAACCGGUACUAAUGAACCGUGAGGCUUAACCUU
rnacentral:rRNA from 1 species